AGGACGAACGCUGGCGGCGUGCUUAACACAUGCAAGUCGAGCGGAAAGGCCCUUCGGGGUACUCGAGCGGCGAACGGGUGAGUAACACGUGAGUAACCUGCCCCUAGCUCUGGGAUAGCUCCGGGAAACCGGGAUUAAUACCAGAUACGACCACUUUAGACAUCUGUCGUGGUGGAAAGGAUUCCGGCUAGGGAUGGGCUCGCGGCCUAUCAGCUUGUUGGUGGGUAACGCCUACCAAGGCGACGACGGGUAGCCGGCCUGAGAGGGCGACCGGCCACACUGGGACUGAGACACGGCCCAGACUCCUACGGGAGGCAGCAGUGGGAAUAUUGCGCAAUGGGCGAAAGCCUGACGCAGCGACGCCGCGUGGGGGAUGAAGGCCUUCGGGUUGUAAACCCCGUUUCAGCAGGGACGAAGCGAAAGUGACGGUACCUGCAGAAGAAGCGCCGGCUAACUACGCGCCAGCAGCCGC
rnacentral:rRNA from 1 species